AUUGAACGCUGGCGGCAGGCCUAACACAUGCAAGUCGAACGAGUGGAGGACGGGUGAGUAAUGUCUGGGAAACUGCCCGGUGGAGGGGGAUAACUAAUGGAAACGGUAGCUAAUACCGCAUACCAUCGGAUCGCCCCAGAUGGGAUUAGCUAGUAGGUGGGGUAACGGCUCACAUAGGAGCCGAUCCUUAGCUGGUCUGUGAGGAUGACACGCCACAUGGGGACUGAGACACGGCCCAUACUCCUACGUGAGGCAGCAGUGGGGAAUGUUGGACAAUGGGCGCAACCCGGAUCCAGCCAUGCCGCGUGUAUGAUGAAGGCCUUCGGGUUGUAAAGUACUUUCGGCAGGGAAGCGUUACUCGCAGAAGAAGCACCGGCUAACUCCGUGCCAGCAGCCGCGGUAAUAC
rnacentral:rRNA from 1 species